UGAGUACGAGAUGCUACGGCAUCGAAGCAGUCUAUGUCAUACUUCCAAGAAAAGCUUGCACUGUCAUAAACAAAGAAUGCCUGUACCAUAACCGACACAGGUGGGUAGGUAGAGUAUACUAAGGGGCGCGAGAUAACUCUCUCUAAGGAACUCGGCAAAAUGACUCCGUAACUUCGGGAGAAGGAGUGCCUUAUUUCUAAGGUUGCAAUAACAAGAUCCAAGCAACUGUUUACCAAAAACACAGGUCUCCGCUAAGUCGUAAGACGAUGUAUGGGGGCUGACGCCUGCCCAGUGCCAGAAGGUUAAAGAAGUUGGUUAGCAUUAGCGAAGCUGAUAACUGAAGCCCUGGUGAACGGCGGCCGUAACUACAACGGUCCUAAAGUAGCGAAAUUCCUUGUCGGGUAAGUUCCGACCCGCACGAAAGGCGUAAUGAUUUGGAUACUGUCUCGGAGAGGGGCUCGGUGAAAUAGACUUGUCUGUGAAGAUGCGGACUACCUGCACCUGGACAGAAAGACCCUAUGAAGCUUUACUGUAACUUGAGAUUGAAAUUGGACUUUAUUUGCGCAGUAUAGGUGGGAGGCGUUGAGAAUAAUCUUGCGGGAUUGUUGGAGCCAUCAGUGAGAUACCACUCUUGUAAUGUUAGAUUUCUAACUUUGUAUCAUUAUCUGGUCAAAGAACAGUUUCAGGCGGGCAGUUUGACUGGGGCGGUCGCCUCCCAAAGGGUAACGGAGGCGCACAAAGGUUUCCUCUGAACGGGUAGAAGUCGUAUCUAGAGUGUAAAGGCAUAAGGAAGCUUGACUGUGAGACCUACAAGUCGAGCAGGGACGAAAGUCGGUCUUAGUGAUCUGACGGUGCUGAGUGGAAAGGCCGUCACUCAACGGAUAAAAGUUACUCUAAGGAUAACAGGCUGAUCUCCCCCAAGAGUUCACAUCGACGGGGAGGUUUGGCACCUCGAUGUCGGCUCAUCGCAUCCUGGGGCGGUAGUCCGUCCCAAGGGUUGGGCUGUUCGCCCAUGAAAGCGGUACGCGAGCUGGGUUCAGAACGUCGUGAGACAGUUCGGUCCAUAUCCGGUGUAGGCGUUAGAAUAUUGAGAGGAGCCUUCUCUAGUACGAGAGGACCGAGAAGGACAUACCUCUGGUGUACCAGUUAUCGUGCCAACGGUAAACGCUGGGUAGCUAUGUAUGGAGUGGAUAACCGCUGAAAGCAUCUAAGUGGGAAGCCCACCUCAAGAUAAGUAUUCUC
rnacentral:rRNA from 1 species